AAAAAUGUUGAAUAUCAACAAUGGGUUUCAGUGCUGUAUUGUUGAGUUUUGUAUGAACUAAUCUAGCUUCUCUAAAAAAAAAAAAAAAAAAAAAAAAAAGAAAGAAAAGAAAGAAAGAAAAGAAAGAAAGAAAGAAAAAAAAAGAAAAGAAAAAAAAGAGAACCACAGCUUUGGACAAAAGUCUAUAGCCAGUGCAUUUGAAAACUCCCCUUGCACCAGGGCUGACUGUAGCUGGGGGAAGACAUUUUACUCAUUUGCUCUUUCCUUUCAUACAGUCAGCUGGUCCCUCUUCUCAGGUGUAGAUCACCUAUUAUAAUUUUACCUAAUUUUGAUACUCUGAUAAGGAAAGUCCCAGGACUUAUCAGCUGGGAUAGGCCUCACUUACAAGACAGCUCUGUUCAGUAUUUGGAAGAAAGCCUGACAGGUUUCUUCGGAAAAGUGGCCAUCCAUGGAAUGAAUGAAAUGUUCUCUUUCUAUUCCAAUCCAACUUAGAAAUAAUGUUUCAUUCAAGAUAAGGCUCGUGGCUUAGGAGAUUGUGACCUGGCUUGCAUCAUUCUAAGACUUCUAUCGUCUGUUUUCAAAACCCAAGGAGGACCUCCUUUUCUGUGUGAUAGUUCCUCAUGCUUUGCCAGCCACUGGGUCUUUAAGGAAGCUUGCCAAGAGUUCCCGGCUGGGAAGGACAGUUCGAGUUCAUCAUAGACAAUGAGCUGGCACCACAGUUUAAGUGACUCACCAACCUGGUUGCCCACUUCAAAAUGUCAAGAACCACACUAUCUAAUUGAAAGAACUGUGUUUUAGCAAAGUGUAAUUGGAUCGCCUGGCAAGAUCAUCUCAAACUAUGUCUCUGACCUUGCCUUUCAGUGGCUAUUUUGAGCACAAGAGGAGAAAGGAAAUGAUUCCUGAAUUAUAUCUUGUUUUUAAAAAUUAAGAUUAAUUAAUACUUGGUUUUAUGUUCAUUCCAUUGUAGGAACUUAGUGAUUAUUACAAAACAGUCAAAAUAGGUCAUAGCAAAAUGAACGUUUAAGAUUAGGUUAAAACAUUCCUCUGAAAUUUUAGUAUUCACUUUUGAAGUGUCAAUUACUAUAUUUCUGUAAUUUCUCAUUUUUUUCUUGGCUUAGAGUCAAGAUGAAAAAUGAUAUUUGAAUCAAAGACAUUGUUUUGUUAUAUAGCCACUCCUUUCUAAAAUGCAAAUCCACCCUCCCCUCACCAAUGCUUUAUUCUUUGUGCGCGCACACACACACACACACACACACACACACACACACACACACAGACAUACACAGAACCAGCACCCAAAUGGUAGAGGAGGUCCUUCCAAGACUUCUAGGACCUGGAUCAUGUAAGCAGUAGAUGAGAAAAUGAAGUAAGAGAUAUAGAGUAAUAACAAUAAAAGUCAAUGAUUUCAUUUUACAAAAAAGUCAUUGUGUAGUACUCAGAUAUUUUUAAGAGCAAGUAUUAUUAUGACUAAAGUAUAUUAUACUUCUAAAUUAUUAUGAUUCUCAUCUAAUUUCAAGCCACACAUAGGCGCCAUUUGAAAGCAUUUUGUGUUACAACCUAUCAACAAAAAUCAACUAAUAGUUUUAUAACGUGCAUAGGUUUACCCCAUGGGGAAUUAAAAUUUUUAUCUGCAAGUAUUUCUGUUGUUGUGAGACUUUAGGACAAGACAACAUUUGGUGUUAACAUAGAAGAAUAUUCUAUGGCUUUUUUAGCUUUAAAGUUCAUUACUCUAAAAUAAAGUACACGUGGUAUUUUUUUCUUCCUAGUGUUCUCUUAUUAUAUGUAGAGUAUUUUCGGUUGUUGUUUUUAACGUAUACAUUAUUUUUAUUAAGUCAUUUCAUAAAAGAUAAGAUAUAUACUAAUAGACCCUUGGUUUUCUCCUAAUUUAAUUAUUUCAAGUCAAGCAAAAUUGGGCAAUUUUCUUUCAGGAAAAAAAAAAUAUUGAGCAUGAUUUUGAGGUAAAACUGAUUAUUUACAGCAUCUUUUCUCUAAUAGGCUAACAUUUAUGAUGGAUCUUAUUUCAAAGUUGAUUAUUCUCAAAGAAAAGUGGAGAUAUUAGAAUUUCCGAGUAAAUUGCAUUGUUUUAAAAAGUACUUUAAUGCAUUGUUCACAUUGUUGCCAGCUAUUGACCAAAAAAGAGAAGAAGAAAAAAGAAAUAAAAAAAGCAGUAUCUGCUCCAAACGUCAAGUUUUGCAGUUUGAAAGACUUGUACAUUAUAAUUGUUUUUUUCUUUUUUGGAAAGCAGUAGUAAUUAAUACCAAAGGCAUAGACAAUUUAGGGCCAUAACCUCCCUUCCCCCCUCUCCACCUUUUUUUUUUUUUUUUUUUUUUUUUAACUUUAACCAUGAUAGGCAUCUCUGCAAGGUAGGUUUUAACAUAUUUUUUUCCUAAUUUUUUUCCCUCCAUUCAGUAAGAAGGAUAAGCUUUUAGAGUACCCAGUCACCGUGGUAACUGCCAAAAAAAUUCUCCUGAAGUUUGAAGAGGUCAGCUAGCAGGGUCAACAACCCUGGCCUCUCUCUGAGCUCGGUCUAGCAUGCCCCAGCCUGCGGUUGGAGUGUCAGGCCAGAUCUGACCCUGGGAGGUGGACCAUUCUGGCUCUGAUAUAAAUUUUUCGAGUCAGUUCAUGGCCUGGACUCUCCAGGUGGCCUCCAAAAUCGAUUUUGACCCCCUGACCCUGUCUCACGGAGGCAUAGCAUCCACCCUAAGUAAGGAUUUAGCCAGGAAUGACAGCUUUCCACUGAGUGUUAUUGGGGACAGUAUAAACAGUUUGGAAAGCAAGUAAGGAGGUGUGAGGGCUAGCAAUCAUUAAAAGCACAUUAAAAAACAAUUUUUAAAAAUCUUUAUUAGAGAAAGUUGUAAAUGCAUAUCUGUUACAGAAUUCCUGUGAUUUGUAGAGUUUUCUAGUCAGUUUUGAAUAUAAAUAGGUCACAUAUCUUUAUCUUUUUGCAUACUUUGUUACAAAUAUGCAAAUAAGAUAGGCAUACUUGCUACAAAAUAGGUACAGCAGGAAUGUAAUAUGUUCAGAAAAGGCAAACUGGUUAUUAAAACACAUUAACAGGUAAGGAGUUUCUAAUAUUUUAAAUACUAAAAUUUUACAUGUGUAUUUUGAAGUUUUUAAAAUGGAAAAAUAAAGAACCUUUAAAAAACCCAACAGUGUGGAAUAAAGAUAAACUUGUUGCACUCAAGGUACAUUUCUACUUUGUAAAGCAAGAAGCCAAUACACUCAGUUG
rnacentral:lncRNA from 1 species